rnacentral:rRNA from 1 species
GACGGAGGAUGCAAGCGUUAUCCGGAAUUAUUGGGCGUAAAGCGUCCGCAGGUGGCUGUUCAAGUCUGCUGUCAAAGCGCAGAGCUUAACUCUGUACAGGCGGUGGAAACUGAAGAGCUAGAGUAUGGUAGGGGUAGAGGGAAUUCCCGGUGUAGCGGUGAAAUGCGUAGAUAUCGGGAAGAACACCAGUGGCGAAAGCGCUCUACUGGGCCAUACUGACACUGAGGGACGAAAGCUAGGGGAGCGAAAGGG